rnacentral:rRNA from 1 species
UACGAAGGGGGCUAGCGUUGUUCGGAAUUACUGGGCGUAAAGCGCACGCAGGCGGCUCGUUAAAUUAGAUGUGAAAGCCCCGGGCUUAACCUGGGAAUUGCUUUUAAGACUGUCGGGCUAGAAUCCAGAAGAGGGUAGUGGAAUUCCGAGUGUAGAGGUGAAAUUCGUAGAUAUUCGGAAGAACACCAGUGGCGAAGGCGACUCCCUGGUCUGGCAUUGACGCUCAUGUGCGAAAGCGUGGGGAGCAAACAGG